rnacentral:rRNA from 1 species
UACGUAGGGUGCAAGCGUUAAUCGGAAUUACUGGGCGUAAAGCGUGCUCCGGCGGUGAUGUAAGCCAGAUGUGAAAUCCCCGGGCUCAACCUGGGAACUGCAUUUGUGACUGCAUCGCUGGAGUGCGGCAGAGGGGGAUGGAAUUCCGCGUGUAGCAGUGAAAUGCGUAGAUAUGCGGAGGAACACCGAUGGCGAAGGCAAUCCCCUGGGCCUGCACUGACGCUCAUGCACGAAAGCGUGGGGAGCAAACAGG